rnacentral:lncRNA from 1 species
UUCUUGCCAAGGAUCUAGUGCCCCCUGAUGUCUGGCCAGGCCACUGUCAGUUAACACACAUGCGUCCCAUUUGUGAUUUCUACCUUGGUGGCUCCACUGUGACCCCUAACCCACGAGCCCAGAGAAAUUCACCAUGAUAAUGGAAUCCUGGCAACCUUAUCUCAUGAGGCAGGAGGUGGGGAAGGUGCUUCUGCACAACCUUUGAUCCCAAGGACUCCUCUCCCAGACUGUGACCUUAGACCAUACCUCUCACCCCCCAAUGCCUCGACUCCCCCAAAAUCACAAAGAAGACCCUAGACCUAUAAUUUGUCUUCAGGUAGUAAAUUCCCAAUAGGUCUGCUGGAGUGGGCACUAAGGGCUCCCUGCUGCUCAGACCUGAGCCCUCCAGGCAGCAGGGUCCCACUUAC